rnacentral:rRNA from 1 species
AUGCCGCCGCUGCUCACCCUCUCCUCCUCGCCGGCGCUGCCGCCCCCGGCGCCGCGGAGGGCCCGGUUCAGGGUCGCGGCCUCCGCCGACGUCGGCGCCACCGCCCCCGCCGCCGGCAACGACUUCCCGUCGUUCCUGCCCAGGGCGGUCGAGCGCAUCCGCGACGGCGCCGCCCUCCGCCUCGCCAAGCGAAUCGAGCGCGUGCCCGUCCAGACCGGCUUCUCCAAGAGCCCGAUACCGAGCAGCUGCGUGAGGCCACUCAAGCAGCAGCAGAGCGCCGAUCCGGUCGUGCUGCUCCACGGCUUCGACAGUUCUUGUUUAGAGUGGAGGUACACCUACCCUUUGCUGGAGGAUGCUGGGCUGGAGACUUGGGCUGUGGACAUUCUUGGAUGGGGCUUCUCUAAUUUAGAAACAAGGCCACCGUGUGAUAUUGUGUCUAAGCGCGAGCAUCUUUAUCAGUUCUGGAGGUCCUACAUCAAAAGGCCUAUGGUACUGGUUGGGCCUAGCCUGGGUGCUGCUGUUGCCAUUGAUUUCGCAGUCAACUAUCCGGAAGCGGUAUCAAAAUUAAUCUUCAUCGGUGCAAGUGUAUAUGCUGAGGGCACAAAAGAUAUGACCAGAAUGCCUAAAUUUGUUCCAUAUGCUGGGGUUUUUGUACUAAAGAGUCUUCCUCUACGACUAUUCGCUACACGCUUGGCAUUUUAUAAAAUUCCAGAUGGAUUCUUUGAUUGGGUGCAGAUUGGCCGUCUACACUGCUUGCUUCCUUGGUGGGAAGAUGCUACGGUUAAUUUUAUGAUUACUGGAGGUUAUAAUGUCAUAAACCAAAUAAAGCAGGUAAAGCAAAAAUGCCUGGUCUUAUGGGGAGAGGAUGAUGGAAUUAUUAGCAAUAAGCAAGCAUAUCGGUUACAGCAGGAACUCCCCAGCGCGAUUUUAAGGCAGGUAGGGCAGUGCGGCCACAUUCCCCAUGUUGAGAAGCCGAGGGAGGCGGCAAAGCAUGUGCUCGACUUCCUCGGGGGCGAUGGCGUGGACAAGGCGGACCAGGCUUCUUCCCUGUCAUCAACAUGA